UACGUAGCAGCGAGCGUUGUUCGGAGUUACUGGGCGUAAAGGGUGUGUAGGCGGUUCUUUUAAGUUUGGUGUGAAAUCUCCCGGCUCAACUGGGAGGGUGCGCCGAAUACUGAGGGACUAGAGUGCGGGAGAGGAAAGUGGAAUUCCUGGUGUAGCGGUGAAAUGCGUAGAUAUCAGGAGGAACACCGGUGGUGUAAACGGCUUUCUGGACCGUAACUGAUGCUGAGACACGAAAGCGUGGGUAGCAAACAGG
rnacentral:rRNA from 1 species